AAUGGGCGCAAGCCUGAUCCAGCAAUGCCGCGUGCAGGAAGAAGGCCUUCGGGUUGUAAACUGCUUUUGUACGGAACGAAACGGUCCUGGUUAAUACCUGGGGCUAAUGACGGUACCGUAAGAAUAAGCACCGGCUAACUACGUGCCAGCAGCCGCGGUAAUACGUAGGGUGCGAGCGUUAAUCGGAAUUACUGGGCGUAAAGCGUGCGCAGGCGGUGCUGUAAGACAGGCGUGAAAUCCCCGGGCUCAACCUGGGAAUUGCGCUUGUGACUGCAGUGCUGGAGUACGGCAGAGGGGGAUGGAAUUCCGCGUGUAGCAGUGAAAUGCGUAGAUAUGCGGAGGAACACCGAUGGCGAAGGCAGUCCCCUGGGCCUGUACUGACGCUCAUGCACGAAAGCGUGGGGAGCAAA
rnacentral:rRNA from 1 species